rnacentral:rRNA from 1 species
UACGUAGGGGGCAAGCGUUGUCCGGAUUUAUUGGGCGUAAAGGGUGCGUAGGCGGCCUGACAAGUCUGAUGUGAAAUCCCUGGGCUCAACCCAGGGCCUGCAUCGGAAACUGUCGGGCUUGAGUAUGGGAGAGGUGAGUGGAAUUUCCGGUGUAGCGGUGAAAUGCGUAGAUAUCGGAAGGAACACCUGUGGCGAAAGCGGCUCACUGGACCAUUACUGACGCUGAGGCACGAAAGCUAGGGGAG